GGCUUGGAGUUGGCUGGCAUCCAUGAGGAAACCUACAACUCCAUCAUGAAAUGCGAUGUAGACAUCCGCAAGGACCUGUAUGCC